rnacentral:rRNA from 1 species
UACGUAGGGUGCAAGCGUUAAUCGGAAUUACUGGGCGUAAAGCGUGCGCAGGCGGUCUUGCAAGACAGAUGUGAAAUCCCCGGGCUCAACCUGGGAACUGCAUUUGUGACUGCAUCGCUGGAGUGCGGCAGAGGGGGAUGGAAUUCCGCGUGUAGCAGUGAAAUGCGUAGAUAUGCGGAGGAACACCGAUGGCGAAGGCAAUCCCCUGGGCCUGCACUGACGCUCAUGCACGAAAGCGUGGGGAGCAAACAGG